GUGUGUGUGUUCUCAGAGGGAGAAAGAGAACACAUGGGGUGUGUAGGCGUAUACUGGCAAAGAACCACUCUCUUGACUCCUGGAUUUUAAAAAAAGCACGAAAUAUUGGAGGUACUGCCUUUUGCAGUCUAUAAGCACAAUCAACAUGAUCAACGUGACGAAAAUGAAAUUGUAAAUGAAACGUGCACAGAAUUGUAACACUGCAAACCCUCCACAGCUGUGAUGUGAAGUAUCGUAUGCUGUACACGACAACAAUGCAAUUUAGUUCAGGUCUGAGCAUUUCAUAAAUAGAAUGUCGAUGUUGAGGAUGUCAAUGUUCUCCAUCAAAAAGGUUGAUCCACAAAGAUUCCCGAUCGUCUUCAGAUGUUUGAGCUGCUGUAUUUGAAGAGAAUUGUGUUGGACUCUCAUAUGAGUCUCCCUCCAUCAGUAGUCAAGGCAGCACAUACAGUGUGGAGCAAAAUGAUUCAUCUUUUCAAGACAAUAUCUUUGUUAGACAACAGCCUUGACGGCCAGACAUCAAUUGUACACAAAGAGAUAUGACUCCCGAAGCCAUAGCAACGAAGGAGAAGUGUGAAUGCACAAGGAGCAAGGAGUGUGUGUGUGUGCGUGUAUGUAUGAAUAGAUAAAACACAAAGCAAGAGAGGCAUAUCUUUAAUGUGAACACACAAAUCAGUGCCCCCCUCAAGCCUCGCUUCUGUUGAAGAGCACAUGUUCUGAGCAGAGAAACAUUGUCGUUGGAUCAACAGGCAUUAUCAGAAUUCGACUGACAACAAGUGACCAUUUUGCCCAAUGACAGUGUUUUGUUUGACAGAUCCGGGGCUAAUUUUCGGUUGCCAGGCAAAACGCUGCUAAAACGCUAAGAAGAAGACGCCCUCAUUUUCUGAAGCACCUGGUGAGGGGGCUGUGAUCUUCAUGGAGGGCUCCAGGCUAAGUCAUGCCAGGGGUUGGUGUGACUGGCUCUUAACAGCAUCAAGAUGUGCCCUGGGUUGUCAUACAGCUGAAGUCACAAAGUGUGUUUUGGAAGUUCAACAAUGAUACAUUCAAAAAGUUAUUGAAAGAGUACUUUUUUUGCAGUGACUGGUGGUGUUACACAAUAUGAGUGAUCGACAAUGAGUCAUUUGAAUAAUAUGUCUUGUUAGACAUUGAUCUGCAUGAGUGAUUCUAGCCUGCUGUCCUGCCUACACCUGUACAUGUGUCGAACUUUGACUGAUCCUACAACAUUCAAUGUUCAGCCUUAAAGCCCACUCAUUUUAAGAGAAGAAGGAGAAGUGUCUUCAGUGAACAGAGGAGGAGCAGGAGGGAUGGAGAACAUGGGGCCACUCUCACACACACACACACACACACACACACACACACACACACACACACAAAAUCCCAGACGUGUUUCUAAUUCACCAGUGUAGAAAGGGAGAGAGAGAUGAAACCAUCUAAGCCUGUGGAUCAACACAACUAUGAAUAAAUAUAACCCACACCAAUGUAACAGUGCCUACUGCUGUCCACACACACACACCAUUCCAAAUCCUCCAAGGUAUUUCUAAAAUAGAUGACAGAAUCUUGUCCAAGGACCAGUUUGAGAUUAACUUCAGUGACAGAGAGAAAAAUCAAUUCUUCAUUUAGGCCAUGCAGUAAACAUUUAGUAUUCCAGCUCUGUUGUUUUACUCCAUCUCUAUCUAUCUAGCAGUUGCUAGAAUUGUAUGGCAACGUACAGCAGGGAGGCUUGCUGAACAGCUCGGAAGAAUCUUGGCUACCCACGCACACAUACACACACUUUCUGGCCAAGAGAAGAACUCGUGCUGAGCUGUGUUGUUGCCAGGGUAACGGAUGAGGAACAGGCGUUCGGGCAGUGAUGCUCUUGAUCUGGAGGAGUUUCAGGAGGGCUCUUAUUGGCCUCUCCACCGACAGCCACAAUCCCCUGCUGUGACUGAGUGGCCCUGUCACAGGAAGUUAGAGAGGGGUCAGAGGGCAAAUGCAACCUCCACCUCCAUGCAGUGGGAGAGCGAGAGGAAUCACAGGGAGAGAGGGAGAAAUAAAACAUUGUGACAAAGGAAAGGAACGAGAGAGAGCCCUUCCCCCAGGUUAACUCUCCUCUCAGAACCCGUAGUGCAGUUUCUCCUGUCUCUGUCUACCAUGUUCCCCCAGGUUAACUCUCCUCUCAGAACCCAUAGUGCAGUUUCUCCUGUCUCUGUCUACCAUGUUCCCCCAGGUUAACUCUCCUCUCAGAACCCGUAGUGCAGUUUCUCCCGUCUCUGUCUACCAUGUUCCCCCAGGUUAACUCUCCUCUCAGAACCCGUAGUGCAGUUUCUCCUGUCUCUGUCUACCAUGUUCCCCCAGGUUAACUCUCCUCUCAGAACCCGUAGUGCAGUUUCUCCUGUCUCUGUCUACCAUGUUCCCCCAGGUUAACUCUCCUCUCAGAACCCGUAGUGCAGUUUCUCCUGUCUCUGUCUACCAUGUUCCCCCAGGUUAACUCUCCUCUCAGAACCCGUAGUGCAGUUUCUCCUGUCUCUGUCUACCAUGUUCCCCCAGGUUAACUCUCCUCUCAGAACCCGUAGUGCAGUUCCUCCUGUCUCUGUCUACCAUGUUCCCCCAGGUUAACUCUCCUCUCAGAACCGGUAGUGCAGUUUCUCCUGUCUCUGUCUACCAUGUUCCCCCAGGUUAACUCUCCUCUCAGAACCCGUAGUGCAGUUUCUCCUGUCUCUGUCUACCAUGUUCCCCCAGGUUAACUCUCCUCUCAGAACCCGUAGUGCAGUUUCUCCUGUCUCUGUCUACCAUGUUCCCCCAGGUUAACUCUCCUCUCAGAACCCGUAGUGCAGUUUCUCCUGUCUCUGUCUACCAUGUUCCCCCAGGUUAACUCUCCUCUCAGAACCCGUAGUGCAGUUUCUCCUGUCUCUGUCUACCAUGUUCCCCCAGGUUAACUCUCCUCUCAGAACCCGUAGUGCAGUUUCUCCUGUCUCUGUCUACCAUGUUCCCCCAGGUUAACUCUCCUCUCAGAACCCGUAGUGCAGUUUCUCCUGUCUCUGUCUACCAUGUUCCCCCAGGUUAACUCUCCUCUCAGAACCCGUAGUGCAGUUCCUCCUGUCUCUGUCUACCAUGUUCCCCCAGGUUAACUCUCCUCUCAGAACCCGUAGUGCAGUUUCUCCUGUCUCUGUCUACCAUGUUCCCCCAGGUUAACUCUCCUCUCAGAACCCGUAGUGCAGUUUCUCCUGUCUCUGUCUACCAUGUUCCCCCAGGUUAACUCUCCUCUCAGAACCCGUAGUGCAGUUUCUCCUGUCUCUGUCUACCAUGUUCCCCCAGGUUAACUCUCCUCUCAGAACCCGUAGUGCAGUUCCUCCUGUCUCUGUCUACCAUGUUCCCCCAGGUUAACUCUCCUCUCAGAACCCGUAGUGCAGUUCCUCCUGUCUCUGUCUACCAUGUUCCCCCAGGUUAACUCUCCUCUCAGAACCCGUAGUGCAGUUUCUCCUGUCUCUGUCUACCAUGUUCCCCCAGGUUAACUCUCCUCUCAGAACCCGUAGUGCAGUUUCUCCUGUCUCUGUCUACCAUGUUCCCCCAGGUUAACUCUCCUCUCAGAACCCGUAGUGCAGUUUCUCCUGUCUCUGUCUACCAUGUUCCCCCAGGUUAACUCUCCUCUCAGAACCCGUAGUGCAGUUCCUCCUGUCUCUGUCUACCAUGUUCCCCCAGGUUAACUCUCCUCUCAGAACCCGUAGUGCAGUUU